rnacentral:lncRNA from 1 species
UUGGUGCUAGAUCUCAGCAGGUGUGCGGGCCCUUGUUCUCUCUGAGUCUGUGAGGAUGUGGGUAUGCUGCGGCAGGACACAGCUGGAUAGACUGAGGAGCUGAUUUCCUGUAAAGGAAUCUGCCACCCCCACUGUUUUCCCUUUGCAUGAGAACCGUCUUCAAUGAGGAGAACUGGGCUCAGACAUCUAGCAAUCUGAACUUGGAUGCCAGCCAUUUGGGGGAAACUCUAGUUGCCUGGUAUCUGGAGACUUGAGAAGCCUUUGGGAAAUUGGGUCUUGGUGCAAUUCCUGCUGCUGGGAGUAGAAGUAGCUUCUGAACUUACAGGGAGUUGCAACUGCCCCUGCGGAGAGAGUUAGAGCCACUGUCCCUCCAGCUCAUUUCUAGGCAGCACAGAUAAAUGGAGAUUUCCAGUGGCAUUUGGCCAUGUAAAUGCCCCCUGCCCCUUUUUUAUACAUGUUAUGUAUCCUGUUUUGCAAACCACCAGUUAAUAGCAUAUGAAACUAGUGUUCUGUAGAGCACAUUUGGAAACUCUCUAUUAACUGUUAUGAUAGAAUGAUUUUUUAUAUGGCCACAAAUGCUCACAUCUCCCUGUAUCCACACCCUUGGUAAUGUGGUUCUGUGAUUUCUCCCAUUGAAAGGUGAAGUUUUUACCCUACCCUUGAAUCAGUCUAAUGCUGUGAGCUGCUUCUGCUAAUUGAUUUCAGAGGAGGUGACAGUGUGCCAGAUCUUGGCUAAACCUCAAGAGACCUUUGAACUUACAUUUAUUCUCUUGGACCCCUGUGAUCAUCAUGUGAAUAAGCUUGGGCUAGUCUGCUGGGUGCUGGUGAUGGACCAGUCAUCCCUGCUGUCCCAGUCAAAAAUCAGCCAGCCAUCAGAGAAAAGAGUGAAAUAGUGAAUAGUGAAAUAGACCAGCCAACCCUCAGCUAACCACUGACCAGCAGUGCUGACCAUCCUACCCACCACUGAUAAGCCCAGAAGAGGCCAGAACUUCCCAGCUGACCUGCAGAUUUGUGAGCAAAAACAAGUGCUUUAUGUUUUAAGACAUUGAGUUUAGGGGUUCUGGUAGCUUUAAGCUAUUACUACAAUACAGUAAUUGCCACUGACAUAACUACUAAUUUGUGGCUUUUUUAUAUUCCAUUUCUCGUCCAUGAAAUCAAGGCUAAAUAGUGACUUUAUUGAAAGAGAAAAUUGAAUCAUACACAUAAAAAAGAUAAUCAAUGAAGGGUAUCAUACCAAGAAUAUAUGUGUUAACAAAGGAUUAUUGUAGGUGUAUUGUUUUCACUCAACAUGGACAAUUUUGUACAGUCACAGAGCAAUAAUACAAAAUUGUGUCGGGGGGGUAGGGGGAAUUUCAGUGGUACAGAAGAACAUAUACAGGGAGCUAUUUUUCUGACUGACUCUUUCCCAUAGAGCCUCCUCUACUGACUGAAUCCACUGGGUAUCAGGUAAAAUAUACCUGUAAUCAGAGGACAUUUCUGGAGAUUUCUUUCCAUCCUGAUUUUUUUUUUUUAAAUAACCUGUUAUUGUCUGGAAAUAAUAAUGAGUAAUAGUGCAAAAAAAAGUUCUUUUUUUAUUUGGUUAGAAUUUAAGCUUAGCAGGUAGAAAUAGAAUCUUCUCAAAUAGCUAGAUAGAUAAAAACAGUAAAAUGACACAGGAGUACCCCUCCACCCCCCUUGGCCCAAGUUUCUUUCCAAGGGGAACAUAUUGAAGCACAGAGGCCUCUCUCCUCUCAAAAAAGCAUUCAUGGGUAAACAAAUCGGUGCCAUCUUCCCCUUGCCCUGAGAAGCUGUGAGUGCAGCAUAGGGAGAAAGGAUCUAUCUUUCAGGGCAACAAAACAACUGCUACGCUGCUCACAGAAAGCAGGGGCUCACUGGACUGGUGGAAUUCCCAUAUCACACACUCGAGGCACUUAACUAGUGCCUUUGUUGGGAUGCAGCCAGCUAAUUGAAUUUAAAUUAAUGAUGUACAUUUCUUUUAGUUUAAGUUGUUAAACUGUAUUUUCAUGUUUGAUAGUCAUUUGCUAAAUCUUGGGAAAACAUUGCAUGUAUAAUAAUAAGCUUGAAUCCCCUGUAGCAUUAAAAAAAAAGUCUAACCAGUUAUAUAUGAUUUACUCAUUCAAAACACAUCUGUAUUUUAAAGAAACAUUAGUAUAAUCAGAAGAGGGAUUGGGUUAUUGAUUUGAAUUCCAACUCAGAUAUUAUUUAGGAAGACUAUGUCAGAAACAAAAGAUAGGCUUCUUUCUCAAAAUAGAGAAACUUUGGAUCAUUUCUUUCCAAAAAAUAAAUAAAUAAAUAACUUUUCAUGACAUAAUAAUUCUAUUUUUUUUCAUUUAAUCAGACAUAAUUCGUUUUCCUUUUCUUUAACUCUCUGAACCCUAAACAGCAGAGGUAAAAAAUAAUUUACUCAUAGCUAACUAAUUUGAAAAACUAAAUAUGUAAUUUUUUCACAGCACAAAUGACUUGAUUCUUUGCACUUCACUAAUUUGGAAAAAAUGCACAAGGUUGCAAAAAAUUAAUGAAGAGCAUUUAAAGUAGAUUUCUUGAAGUUUUUCUCAUUAUCUGUAUCUAUAGUAAAUUUAUCACAAAACAUAGACAUUAUAUUUCAGUGGGGUUUGUAUUAUACAUAGAUAUGCUUUUUCCUUAUACAUAAUACUGUGGUGGAAAGGACAUGGAAAUAAGGUUCAGAAGACAGGGAUUUUGGUUGCAUCUCAAGCACGUAGGUAUCAGAAAAGCUCAAACUGGUGGCUCAACAUCUCUGUAAGUUAGUUGCUUCAUGUAUUAAAUGGUUAUACUAAUAUUAGGUCGAAAUGUAUGAAACUGUGAAUAUUUGCCUGCUUUUGACCAACAAAAAAAUGACAGUUUUAUAUGGUUCGAAAUACUACUCUGUCUUAUACUGCUAGUGCAUGAAAUAAAUUUUUUUAAGCAUUUUGGAAUACUACCAAAUGUAUGCAAAUGUAAGCUUUUUAUUGUCCUAAUAUGUGUGUGUAUGUUUACACAUAGGAAAAGCAGUUGGUGCAGUUGUAAUAAUAAUUGAUACGGCCUAAUGCCACAUUGAUUUGCCUGGGAUACAAAAAAAACUGAGGGGACUGGAUGGCAUAAACCAGCUUUUAAAAUUGUUCAUUUUUUUCCAUUGCGAAGUUUAAAAUUUGACCUUUACAUUAAAAAAAAAAAUGAACUACAGACUCAUAGCAAGCAAAGGAGUCAUUGCUUAUCUGAAGUCUUUCUUUAACUAUCGGGCAGACACAUGGAUGAACUGGCUUCUCUGCAGCCAUCAUCUGGAUGCAAAGCAUUCAAUAUAUGGUCCAAAUGGUCUUUCCUUCAAGGACAUUUAAACACUAGAUUCUGGUUCUAAAGCAAGCCUUCUUCAGUAUUUACAAGUAACCAAACUAUGGUCUUAGGUCAUCCAGUUCCCCUUGGAACAGGCACAAACACCUAGCUUUCUUUGCUCUCUACUGCACUGUGUCUGCCUGCAUCCCACACCCCACCACCUCCAGCCUGUAGCAUGCCCUGACGAAGCCAGUGGUUUCUCUUUCUUGCUUAGUUGUGCUAGUCUUAGCUCAGCUUUGACUAGCUCUUUGAAUUGAGUUCCUGUGGAAGGAGCCAACACUUCUGCAGAGAUAGACUGAAGAAGCACAUGCCAUGCAGUGAUGGGAUCCAGGGGUCUCAGGAAGAUUUAACAAGUUCUCUUCCUUUCUCAUGGCUUUCUCAUUUAUGAUUCUCUUCUCUCGUGGGGCCCAAUAUUACUGCCUGACCUAGGGUUUUGUGAACUAUUGUACAGUCUUAUAAUUUUUACUUAAACUGGUCUGUGUGGGUUUCUGCCACCUACAAACAUGGAGCUCAUGCUCAGGUGUGUGCCUGUUCCAGGGACACUGCUCUUGCACAGACCUUUGGCUUGUUUACCAGUCACCAGACACAAUCCUUCUCACUUUAGAUUUAUAUCUUGCUAUUAUAAGACUGCUGUAUCAAUAGACAUAUUUUUAAAUGAAUUUAUUUAUCAGACUUAUAUUAUAGUGACUUUUGUUCUUUAAUCAGAAUCACAUUCCCUCCAGUUUUUAACAGAAAAGGCAAGGAUUUAAGAUCAUUAACACUAUUCAAAGGGCUAUGCUAUUAAACUGGAAAGUCCACAUCCAAAGAGGAUUUCCCAGAGCCUUUUAGUAACUGCAGCAUUGUUGGAACAUUUGAGUGGCCUCCUAGGCUGCCUAUUUUGGAGGUAGUAACUCUCAAUGGACACAAUUAAGAAAAAGUCACACUUCAGAGUUGUAUCUUGAAACGCAUGCUUUAUGAUCACCCUAUGAUGAUGUAACUAUAGGUGGUAUGAAGAGUUUUUUCACUGUUAACCCCAAAUCAGAGCUUUUUAAUGUUUGAGAUUGACAAGGGUGGCUCCUAAUAGUUUAAAAACAAAUAUAUAUGAACAAAAAGCAAAAAAUAAAAAUAAAACAUUUUUCCCAGUCUCGCUGCUUCCCAGUGGUAUAAGCAGAGCAAGAUGCAGCAGUGGAUGUUUUUGAGUCUGUUUGGAAAGGUCCUCUUCCAGACCUAUUUUAUGUAACUGUGGCAUGGAUGCCCUUUUGUAUUUCACAAGCAAGAGAAGUCCUUAUAUUGUAGCCUCAUUUAAGGAUAAAAGUGACACUGCACUCUAGGAGAUAUUUCUUGUUUAAACAAGUAACAAGAAGAUUAUCUGAAGGGUAACAGCCAGGUUAUGUACCCCAUAAAAGUACGAAUGAUUUACAAAUAUUUAACAAGGAAAAAACUAAUUAUGCUGCUCCUGUCACAGAGAGGCCAGCCUCAGAAAUGGUAUAAUCAAUAUGGGAAUGUUAGCUGUAAUACAGUCUGUCAGCUUUUUAACC